rnacentral:rRNA from 1 species
UACGUAGGCGGCUUUGCAAGUUAGAGGUGAAAGCCUGGAGCUCAACUCCAGAACUGCCUUUAAAACUGCAUCGCUUGAAUCCAGGAGAGGUGAGUGGAAUUCCGAGUGUAGAGGUGAAAUUCGUAGAUAUUCGGAAGAACACCAGUGGCGAAGGCGGCUCACUGGACUGGUAUUGACGCUGAGGUACGAAAGUGUGGGAGCAAACA